CCUACGGGAGGCUGCAGUGAGGAAUAUUGGUCAAUGGACGAGAGUCUGAACCAGCCAAGUAGCGUGAAGGAUGACUGCCCUAUGGGUUGUAAACUUCUUUUAUAUGGGAAUAAAACGUUCCACGUGUGGGAUUUUGUAUGUACCAUAUGAAUAAGGAUCGGCUAACUCCGUGCCAGCAGCCGCGGUAAUACGGAGGAUCCGAGCGUUAUCCGGAUUUAUUGGGUUUAAAGGGAGCGUAGGUGGGUUGUUAAGUCAGUUGUGAAAGUUUGCGGCUCAACCGUAAAAUUGCAAUUGAAACUGGCAGUCUUGAGUACAGUAGAGGUGGGCGGAAUUCGUGGUGUAGCGGUGAAAUGCUUAGAUAUCACGAAGAACCCCGAUUGCGAAGGCAGUUCACUGGACUGCAACUGACACUGAGGCUCGAAAGUGUGGGUAUCAAACAGGAUUAGAUACCCGUGUAGUC
rnacentral:rRNA from 1 species